UACAGAGGGGGCGAGCGUUGUUCGGAAUUACUGGGCGGAAAGGGCGCGUAGGCGGCCACUGCAAGUCGGUUGUGAAAUCUCCGGGCUUAACCCGGAAAGGUCAAUCGAUACUGCAGGGCUAGAGUGCAGAAGGGGCAACUGGAAUUCUCGGUGUAGCGGUGAAAUGCGUAGAUAUCGAGAGGAACACCUGCGGCGAAGGCGGGUUGCUGGGCUGACACUGACGCUGAAGCGCGAAAGCUAGGGGAGCGAACGGG
rnacentral:rRNA from 1 species